ACAUGAUAAAAUAAAGAAGAGAAAUAAAUUCAUUCAAAAGAAGAAUAUUAAUUUGAUGAAAAAAUUGCAGAAGAUAAUGUUUUAUACUAAGAGAUAUGCACGGUUGCAGACUUACAGGCGCCAUCAAGUUCAAUAUAUAGGGUAUUAAGAAAAUUUUGAUAUUUCUUUAAUAAAAUGAAAAAAAAGAAAUAAAGAUUCACAGAUGAAAUUCAGUGUACAAAUCUUACUCCUUUAGCUAGAUCACCAAUCAAGCCAUUCCAUUGUCCAUUAGGUAAUUUCUUGCCAAAUUGUCGAUCUUCAGUCGCUGGAUCGAUUUUAGGUAUUAUCCAAGGCACUGACUAACGUACAAUUUCAACGUAUCAUUAUUAAUUAAUUAAUAAAUAAAUGUUACAAAUUCACAAUGAAAUUAAACGAAACUUAAUUACGGGAGUAAUUCCAAUUCGAAAGAAUCUUUUAGCAGCUUUAUACGUGAUCAUCCCUUUCUCUGGCCAAUACUCAAACGUAUCGUUGCCUCCCAGUUUCUGUGGCAGAAUACAUUCCUUCGAUUCUCAACGAUAUUUAUUUCAUCUCAACAUGACUUACAGCAACUAUAUUCUUGUUGAACGCCUCAAUCGUGACAUUUGAACUUUGAUUCGCGUUUGACGAGCAUUUGACACUUUUUGGCUCCACGCUGACACCCGAUGCCUGAAGUUCGCUCAUCAGGCUCACGAUGAGGCCUACCAAUCGUUUGAAAUAAUUCGAAAAUAUCUGCCAAGAACCAACGCAAGAUUAAACAAGAUUAUCACUCCAAUUGUCAUAAGUCAAAGAGGCUAUGAAAAGCUAUAGAAAAGUACUUUAACGUUUGAAGGACAAUUGCAGAGGGAUUCACCGAUUAAUCUGCAACAAACGUCCAUCUUCAUCCAUAGAACCGUGAUGGACACGUUCAACUUUCUGAAGUAAUCCUCCAUCUUGGCUGUACUGGCAUAGAUAGCGUAAUAAGACGGCGAUGGCCUCAUACUCUUGAUCUUCGACACCGUUUUCUCGGUGAAUUCGUCGAUCACGAUCAAUCUCAGGAUCGAGUUUCCGAUCAAAUAGUAGAGACUCUGAUUCAACUCUGUUAAAAAGAGGCGAUGUCGAUUUUCAAAGAAAAUUUGGGAAAAAGAAUUUAAAAAACUCGCUACCUCUUUCAUCUUCGAAGAUCAGAGCAACAUCAGUGGCGUUUUUCAACAUCAAAAGAUCAUCGAUCGCUUGGAUGAGCAGAGAUUGACCGAGUCGGCGCAGGAGAUGCGGAAGGUUUCAAGUCAGACAGCUCCGUCACGUGAAUAAUUCAACAAUAGUACAGCAACCUUUCCGUAUCGAUGUAUCGAUGAACCAAUCAAAGUUUCAUGCAAGCAUCGUGCAAUCAAUGUUUAACUCGUGUGUGUUUAAUUUCAUCUUUAUAUUGCACGAUAAAGAAGAAUAAUAAGUCUUCUAAAACGAUUUCAAAUCCUCUGUUAUCUAUUUAAAAAAAUCAUUCUGUGACAAAUGAUAGGAAAGAAGAAUAAUAAAUUCUGCGAUGAACGAUGCGAAUCGUACCAAGAAAUCAUCUAAAGAAAUUUUCUAUCUAUUUAACAAAAAAAAAUCAAGAAUUUAUUACAAUAAAAUUGAAGAAUACUUAAAUGCAUCUCAAAAGAAACUACAAGCGUGAAGAGAAGAAAAUCAAAAGUAGACAUGAUAUUUUGUACAAAAGAGUAAUACCUCGUUGAAAAAUUUUACAAAAAUCAAAUAUCGUUUCUUGAUAUCAUUUUUGAAAAAUUAUAUUAAAUCAAAAUUCAUCGUGUAGAUACUUACAC
rnacentral:lncRNA from 1 species